rnacentral:rRNA from 1 species
GAUGAACGCUGGCGGCGUGCCUAAUACAUGCAAGUCGAGCGAACACACAAUGAGAUUGCGCCCCUAACGUUAGCGGCGGACGGGUGGGUAACACGUGCAUAACCUACCUAUAUUACUGGGAUAACUUCGUGAAGCCGGAUAUGCUAACAGAGCAUAUAUUGUACGGCAUAAAUCAAGGGAGCAACGCACCUUUGCUGUCUCUAUUAGAUGGAUCCGUGUCGGAUUAGCUAGUUGGUAAGGUAACGGCCUACCAAGGCGACGAUGCGUAGCCGAUCUGAGAGGGUGAUCGGCCACACUGGAACUGAGACACGGUCCAGACUCCUACGGGAGGCAGCAGUAGGGAAUCUUCCGCAAUGGGCGAAAGCCUGACGGAGCCACGCCGCGUGAGUGAUGAAGGUCUUCGGGUUGUAAAACCCUGUUAUUAGGGAAGAACAACUGUGUAAGUAACUCCGCACGUCUUGACGGUACCUAAUGAGAAAGCCACGGCUAACUACGUG